rnacentral:lncRNA from 1 species
CCAGGCGCCACCGGGAAGGGCUCGCGACUUCCAGCCAACGCGUGUCGGGACUGACCUGGAAAGUUGUUAAGUGAAUCACUGCAGUGGUGAAGUUAGUCAAGUGGUUAAGUGAAUCUGGCUUUGCUUGUCAGAAGGUCACAAAAGAGGAUCACGAGAAGCAGCAACCAUCAUAAAUAUGAAUCAGUUGCCAAGUGUCUGGAUUUUGAUCAUGUGACCAGCGAGAUGCUACAACAGUCGG